UAUGGUUUUGGUGUAAGUUAUAUAUGAUUUGGAGUUUAAAUGAAGAAGAUAUAGGCGCUCAAAGUAAAGGUGUUGAUUUGAGAGCUACUGUCACUCUUUUUGGCAUAACGCACGCACACAAAUAGAAAUUGAAGAUCGGCGAUUGCGAUUGGAGAGAGCACUUUUGCGGCUACACUUUUUGCAUAUUGCUUGCUUAAUUCCAAGUUAUAAUGAAGGAGUUAUUGGAUUUUGAAGUGAGCACAUGCAAUAUAAGGGUAGUAAGUGACCCGAUUUAUUAGUGGUUGUAUCUUGACCUAUAUCUUGAGC
rnacentral:lncRNA from 1 species